GUUCUGCUCUGGGACCCUUCACUGGCUUGGCUGCUGCAACAGAGACUUUGGAACCAAGUUCAUAUUUCCUCCUUUUAGCCCAUUUCAUAUGACUCCUUUUUAAAGUUAAUGUGACCAGUGCAUGACUCCAGCCCUGUGCUGAAGCAGUGACUGUCCAGGAAUUCGUUUGGCACUUGAGAUGAAAGGAAACGAAGAUUAAAUGGUUUGGCGGCGGUUUUAAAAUAGGGCCAAAACUGACUCCAGGCAUAUCUACCUCAUGAAAAGGACAACACUGAGGAAGACCAGGGAAAGUGGUCUGCAUGCUUUAUAUGCACUGGACUACCACCUCGAUGGGGUGGGGAGGCUUGUAUGCACUGAUGACUCUAAAAGUGACACCAUCAGGAGUACUCCUGCUAGGGUCACCCAUGGUGGUAAGGUCAAAGGUGAUGUAUCAGAUGAAGAACAGUCCAACACAACACAAAGACCUCGGCGGUGGAGCAGGAGGAUGCAGAAGACAUACUUCUCACUGGCUUUGAAGGUAGAUGAAGGCUGCAGUGGAAGAGUAACCCCAAUUAUCUUGGAUCUUCUUGCCACCAGACCCAGGUUUCUCCUCCACCAAGACCUGUGUGGUUGCAGAUGCGCAAUGGCCUCCUCAUGUAAAACAAGUCAUGUUCAGACUUUUCCACUGGUCCAACAUCUACUACACAUAGAAAAGAUGUGAAGUAGCUAUCUUUUGUGGGGUGUUAAGUGUGCAUCAAUAAGCAUUAUUCUAAUAUAAUAAAAGGCUUAGUCUGCCUGUC